rnacentral:tRNA from 1 species
AGGAAUUUAGGUUAACAAGACCAAGAGCCUUCAAAGCUCUAAGUAAGCAGCUACACUUAAUUCCUG